rnacentral:rRNA from 1 species
ACUCCUACGGGAGGCAGCAGUGGGGAAUAUUGCACAAUGGGGGAAACCCGUAGCAUGCAGCCAUGCCGCGUGUGUGAAGAAGGCCUUCGGGUUGUAAAGCACUUUCAGUGGGGAGGAAAGGUUGAUGGUUAAUACCUAUCAGCUGUGACGUUACCCACAGAAGAAGCACCGGCUAACUCCGUGCCAGCAGCCGCGGUAAUACGGAGGGUGCAAGCGUUAAUCGGAAUUACUGGGCGUAAAGCGUGCGCAGGCGGUCUGUUAAGCGAGAUGUGAAAGCCCCGGCUGC